rnacentral:lncRNA from 1 species
AGGCGCUGGAGUUGGGGCAAAAGGGAGAGGGAGGGAGCCCGAAACUCGCGGCGGCGGCCAAUCGGCUCUCACUGCCGUCCAAUCGCAAGACCUAGCUGCAGUGUGAUUGGCCUUCGGCCCCGGUCCCAGGAGCGGGGAGAUGCCUGACUCGGGUCGUGGCUGACGACCCGACGGUUCGCCUGCGGCCGCCUCCAACAACGGUGGAAACCGCACACAGGGACCGCGGGCCCUCGGUGCAGCAAAUCGGAAAGUGCUGCGGUCGGCGGCCCUGGGCUCUGAGCGCUCAAGCGAGCAGAGGGGUGGAGGGGCUCUCCCCACCCACAGGAGGCUCUCGGCGGGGCGCAGCCAAUUCUGCGCGCCCAAGGCUCCCCUCUGCCGUGGAUCGCGUGUGCCGAGUGUUGGCCUCUUCCCCGAAAGGGCCAGACGGACCAAGGGGGCCUUCCCAGCCGGCUGCAAGCUCUCAGACGCUAAAAUGGGAACAAAGCUUCCAGAAAGGCAGCGCCUUUGGGCGGCCGCGCCCCGCCCAGCCGCGGGGGCCAUUGAUACAGAGGCUUGCUGCGCUUGGUGUGCGCGGCCCGGCCGGGCCUCUGGAAACGCCCAUGAGAAAUGAGCUCAUGCUGGAUGCGCGCGCUCCUUGGGCGCAACUGCCCAGCGCAAAACGGGCCCCGAAAGCAGGUUAAAAAAUGGAGGCAACAGCUGGGUACAGUGGCUCACUCCUGUAAUUCCAGCACUUUAGGAGGCCAAGAGUCUCGCUCUGUCGCACAGGCUGGAGUGCAGUGGCGCAAUCUCGGCUCACCGCAACCUCUGCUUCCUGGGUUCAAGUGAUUCUCCUGCCUCAGCCUCCCGAGGAGCUGCGACUACAGGCACGUGCCACCGCACCCAGCUAAUUUUUGUAUUUUUAGUAGAGACGGGGUUUCACCAUACUGGUCGGGCUGAUCUUGAACUCCUGACCUCAUGAUCCACCCGCCUCGGCCUCUCAAAGUGCUGGGAUUACAGGCGUGAGCCACCACGCUCGGCCAGUUUAAGUCUUAAGUGUUAAGGCAAAGCACUUAAGGUAGCCACACCUAUAAAGUGGAAUUGUCAGGUCAUUUUCAACCUAUUUCUUUGCCUAUGAGAGCUCUCAUGUGACAUAUGCCUAGUCUACCUUCAAAUGAGAAGAUAGCUGCCCUGUAAAGCACUUGGCUGUGGGAGGCACUCUCACUUCCCAAGAGGUUGUAUAUAACUGAGUCAAUGUACACUCAUGGGGAUGUCUAGGAGGCCAGAGAUCCACUUGCCAUUCAUGUGGCUCCAGAGGCAGUGGACUUCCAUGCUUCAUUACUCAUGGCCACUCCCCAAGAGUACCUGCUCUAAGUAGCCAUCAGUAAACCAUUCCAUAAAGAAAUGCUAAUGUGACCAGGUGGCCUAAAAGAGUCUGUGGUCUGCUGCUUCUUGGCCCUGGAUUAGGACUGUUUCUGUUGUUGGAAAAUAUUUGAUUCUUGAGGGGGAUGAAAUGAGGCAGCACCUGUGAAAAUUGUUUGAAAACUCUAAAGGCCCGUACUUGUGUAGAGGAUGUGGGUGAGAUGACUACUGGUAGACAAAAAAAGUUAAGCUCUCUACCCUGUAUUUUCCUCUUAGAUUACAAUUUCUUAUUUAAGUAUCUCUUCAAGAAGACUGGAGUGGAAUCUUUUCCCUUCUGGGUGGUAAAACUAAUGAGGGGAUGUUUGCCUUGACUUUGCUAUUACAGUAUAUGUGUGACAUCCCUAAAUCCACUCUAGUGCAUCUUACACACUUGUCAGAUUUAUCUAACUCUCACACCAUUGUCAUCACUUCCGCCUGCCCCUCAGGAACCUAAAUUGAUACCUCUGCCUAUCAUGGAAAAUCUAAACUCUUCAGUCUUGCAUUCAAAGUUCUCCUGCAACUACCUGCCCCAGCCUCCAUCAUCUUUCCAAUCUGACCUCUCCUUGCUUCACACUGUAGAAGCAGGUACUCUUGGAGCUGACAGUCAUCAAAAAGAUGGUGCAUAUCCAACUCUCACAUGUCAAAGAUGGGGAAACUGAAGCCCAGAGAAGUGAGGUGAAUAUUCCCAAGGCCACACACAGUCCUUCCACUGUGGCUAAGACGACAUGCUUUCCAUUCCACACACAACUUGCUCCUCUGGUCCUAAGCCAUGGGGCGAGGUGAGUAGAACUGGUACCCAGAAAACAGUAUGGCAUGGGAUAAAUGGUAGAUAAAGCAAUGUUGAGAAUUAAAAACUCCAAUGUGCUUACAACACAUAGCGUUCUCAGCAAGUGAACUUUAUAUAGAAUUUGCCACCCUCAUAGUAGGGAAUUCACUAAAGCUGGGAAUGAAUGUGCAAAUGUUUGUUUGCUUUGUUUUGUUUACCACAGAAGCGAAAUUUGUGACAAUCUUUUUCAACCUAAAUUGAAUAAAUGAUUCAGGACAAGAAAUGAUUACCAGAUGUGUCAGGGUUUUGAUGGGAAAUGGCCCAUCGAAUUAUUAUUGUUUGCCAAGUUUUCCCCUCACGAUUGAAGCUAACGAGGUCAUUUCAAGGGUAAUCAUGCUGGGGAACCUCGAUGCAAUGACGCUGUUACAACUUGCCCAAUUUGAAGCUAGGAAACCACGCCUCCUUUGGAAGGUUUAUGUGGUAGGAAAUGGGGGGUCAUUGGUGAUCGAAACCUCACUGAUUAUCAUGAAUGGCAAGAAGAGGAAAGCAGUGAAGGAAAAGCCCUGAUUACAAGAAUAUUGUUAAAUAAAUCAAAGGAAGUUUUAUAAAUAUUCAAAUAUGUAAUGUAAUUCAAAUGAGACGAAUCAACUUUCCACAUCUGCUUUGGUGAAUAGACAAGGAUACUUAAAAUUUGUGCAUUAAAUAUUUGAACAUAAAUUACUGCUUAUAAUGUGUUUGAGGUUUUUAAAAUGUUUUCUUUAGUAUUUAAAUCACCAUAGAACUGAAAAAAUAAAGCAUUUAAUCAUUA